GGGAAAUAGCUACCCCGUGGUAACUAAGAGGAGGGGAACGACCAGUCGUCGGGGUCUAUUUCCUCGCCUCUCUCUGUUCUUCUCUCUCAUCCGAAGAACUGUGCUGGAUAAAGGAGAGCUGCAGAGAUCCAAGGUUCCUUGAAUUGAAGAAAUCGGCUCGCUCCUGCACGCCCAGCAAGAGGAUGGGCGACGCUUCCGGUGGAGAGAACAAAAGAUUGAUUAAGCCAGUUUAACCCAAGGAGAGACAAGAGAGGACGAGCAGAAAGAGAGAGAAUAGACGCAAAGGAGGUCGCAUCACAGGGGUGCGCACAUCGAAGAUGUCCGCGGCUGAAGUCGUCGGCGACGAGAUGCUUAGCUAGGCCGGCGCACCUCUAGGCUAGUCCCGCCCUGUGGACCAGCAAUGCAUGGGCACUGACACGGAUGACAAAGGAAGCAAUCCUGAAAACAACACAGACAACAGAAAUGCAGAAGGCAAAUAGCAGUGUCUUGAAGAUCCAACAUUAGAAGAGCGAGGAUAUCAUGUAGAAAUCACUGACACGGAAGUUUCUACAAUGGUUUGUAACCUUUUCAAUAAAUAUCCAUAUUUUUUCUGAGUUUUAUUAGUUGAUACAGGGGUUAACUAGGUAACACGGGAUGUUAACUAGCUGUUUUGCCGUGUCAACAUGUCUAUGUACUCUUGUUGAAACUAGGUAGAGGAGCAUCUGCAAGCUGCUAGUCAACUUCAGUACUGAAAAACAACAUAUGUUGCUCUGAUCAAUUCCAUGAACAAUGGACAGCACAGUUCAGUUUAGUUAGUUCUGAACAGCAACUCCUGUCCUCGUACAUCCAUAAUCUUUUGUAUUUAUA